UUGAUGCUGAUAUAUAUGCGUGAACGUGGCGGUCAUGCCUAUCCGUCUCAACACCGCUCUCUGCAACUUUCCUAAGAUGGUUUCUUCGUUAAAUCUCUCUCUCUCGUCGAUGGCGGUUUCCGGCCAGCGUUUCCUCCUCCUCAUCUCCGUCCUCCUAACCCUAAUCGCUUUAUCGGCCGCCUCAAGGCCUGGCCCCUACAAAACCAUAAUCUUCUUCUCCGCUCCGUCGUCGCCGCAUCGGAAUCCCCCUUUCUUCUCUUUCUAUAUCUUCCAACGCCCUUCUUUCCCUGUUUUCUUCUCCAGGAUAAGAAAUUUCUACUCCGAGUCCACACUCUUUGUCGAUCGCACAGUCGUUAGCGAACAAGCCCCUCCCCUGCGUUCCGGAUUUUACUCCUCUGCGCUCCACGACCGCAUUAUGAAAUUUUUGCUGAUCAUUGGGUCUCUGCUUGCGGGGGCUGGCUGUGGCGCCCUUUCCGCGAUUGCUAUUUACCUGAUGUUGUCUCGUUUCGCUUCCGAUCGUUUUGAAUUCGUCGAUUUUGAUAAUGAUGGUAGCCCUAAGACGAUGGAAUACCUUCCAGUCCCGAAGGCCGAUUCCAUCGUCGGUGUUCCGCCAACCAAAGAGGUCGUUUGAGGGUUUGAGAGAGGAAGAAGUUCAAUUGGCAUGUUCUGAAUUGGGGAAGUUUAAUCAUAUUGUAUCACGAAAAACACCAUUAUCUCUUGCGAUCUCACAUCCUUAUGAAAUGAUUGAGUUAUUUUCACUUUUUGUAGAAUUUAAUUAUUGAUAUCUCCUGAUAUAUUAUGCAUAGAGGUAUGCAUCCUGUUCAUCUCAAAAAACUUACUUUUGCAUUUGUUAUAUUUUCAUUCAUCUCCAUCAAUGUAGCAAACAUUUUUCUUGAUGCAAUCUUAGUUUCUUACAUGCUACGUAUUUGAAUAUUUAAUUAACCACCUCAUCAUAAAAAUAUGAAAUGUUACUAUCAUUGUAGCUAUACCUCAUUUUUUAACUCCUGUCAAAGCAACCAUAGAUUCAAAAGUAGUAUUUAAAGCUUCCUACAUCAGAUGGUUAAAAAAAAAAAAUACUAAAAGCAGUUAAACAUAGUUUAAUUCAUAAUGUAUAAUACUUUAAUAACAUAAUGCAAAUUAAGAAGUUAAUAAAUCAUUAAUUUAAAAUUAUUAACAUAAAUAAAGUAAGUUAUAAAUCAAUUAUCAUAAAAUAUCAAGGAAGUUAAAAUAACAAUUCCGUGCGUGUAAGUUAAUAAUGCAACAAUUAUCUAUCCAUUUGUAGGCUUCAUUAGCUAGGUUUCUUUCUUUCUUCUACCUUAACUCUGUCAUCAUUCCAGAACUCUAUUGGUAUACAAUUAUGAGGAAUCAACUUCACUAGUAUGAAUUGAUGGAAAUAAAUUAUCUAAAACAUUUAGCAAGAAAAAUGAAAAAGUUGUUAGUAAUAUCUUUGGAAUGAACAAACAAGAGUUCAAGAAAAAAAAAAUUGACUUAAAUGACUAUUUGUAAAAUGAAAAUGCAACCACUGAUGGAUCCUUUUGGCUUGUUGUUAGCUGACUUUUAGGAUCUUUCUUGUAUCUAAUCAUCUCUCAAACUAACCAAUCUAAAACAUACUUUGACUAGUUACAAGUACUAGCAUUUUCCACAUCAACUACAACAGAUAGUGUUUUUAACUAGGCUCUAAAGCAAUAGUUGGAUAUAAAAAUUGAUCUAGGCUAUAAAGCAAGAAAACUCUUUUGAAUUAGGUAGGCAAGACAUUUUUUUGAAGAAUAUGAGAAAAUCAUUUAGCCCUAAUUUAUUAAAAAGAUUUUCACACAUCAAUGUCAACCUCUUAGCCAUUAUUAGGAAUACACAAAAAUGCUUCCUACAACAUCACAAGUCAGAGGACUAUAGAUUCACUUCCCAACCCUUCAGCACAAGUUUUUGUCUCAAAUUUUUUAAUCAAAAUGUCACAUGUAUCCCUACACAAUGUAUUACAACUUAAUCUUAAUAAAGACCAAAAACCCAUUUCUUUCACAUAAUUUCAUUGAGUAACUUAAGUUCAGAUCGUCAUUUCCAGAAAGUAGAUGGUGAGGAUUGGGUUUGGAAAGCAGUCUAUAAAAACAAAAUAAUUAUCAAUCAUAUUGUACACUUAAUAAAUUUAUAAUAGACUAAUUAAGAAUAUGUACAAAUUUACUUGCAUUAUGUAAAUGUAAGUAUCAUCAACUUAUGUAUUUUAUGAGGAUCUGUUCAGUUCAUAAUAAUGUUUUCUUUGUUCAAUCACCUUUCGUUGGUAUGAAAUAUGUGAGGUGGCUGCUCAAAGCUGGAAAUAACAGAUUCAUGGAACAAUUGUUUUAAGUUUUGUCUUGGAAAAAAUACAGGGUUGAAUCUUGGUGGUUUUGGAGUAUUUUAGUUUUUUCCAGCUUAAAGAGCUGAAUUUUCUACAUCAGUUCCAAGAAUUUCAGCGUCAUAUGGAACCUCAAUGAUGAGGUUCUAAGGUAUUAAUUUCAGCUAUGGCUGUGGUUCUAAUUUCUUUGGUAUGCUUCUUGAUUCAAGAUAAAGAGAAUUUGUCUGUAAUUUUUUUUAAUUAUCAAUGAUGGGGGGUUUUAGGAAAGGAUGACUUAUUUGUUACAAUCUAGAAAGAGGGAGGGAGAGGAGGAUAAGAUCUUGGAAUAAGUGAAGAGGAAAAGAAUAUUAGACUAUUUAGAUCUUUAGGGUAGUGUUCUUGAGUGUUCAAGUGAUUUUCUUUCUGUCGUUCUUGAGCAUUGGCUGUUUUGAUGGAAACACUGUUUUAUUCUCUGUUAUUGUUCACAUAUUUGAAACUUCUUGUGAUGGCUGUUGUGUUUAGGUUCUAUCUGAUCUUUGGGAUUUUGAGGAUGGGUUGCAGCUUUUAGGAGGUUAUUUCUGUCAAGUUUUGGAAUGUUUGUAUUAAGCUCUGCUUCUGGGCUGUUUUACAGGGUGGUUUUUGCCAUUUUGGGUGGAGUGGUUGCUUUACAAAUCAUUUGCUUUUUUGUUCUUCUUAGCCUCCAAAGGCAUCACUCCUUGUUACUUCCUGUCAAUACAUGUUAUUGGGAAAGAACAAUACACAAUGAGCAGCCCACUGCUCAAUUCAGUGCCUACGUAUCUUCUAUGGAUUUCCACUAGCCUAUUCAGCAAAAACAUAGACAAACUAUGUUACUAAUAUCUUUUAGAUGUUAAAAUAAUCAUUAAAAUAUGAGUUAGAAAGCAAAUAAUGUCUCUGUUUACCCUGCUGCACUACCUAUAUGGCACAAAACAAUUUAAAGCUGGAAUGAAAAUUCUUACAACAUGUAUGGUCCUUAGCCAUACGAUCCAAAGUUUAGCACAAAUCAGUUGAUAUUCAUGUUUCCACUUCAAUUGGUUGAAUCAGAGGGUAAUUGGUUGAUAUUCAUGUUUCCACUUCAAUUGGUUUAAUCUUGCUUUGUCCCAUUUUCCUGCUUCCUUUUGUUUAUUUACUGAAGACAAACAAUAUCAGUGCAUUCUUUAUCUUCAAUUUGUCUCUAAAACAAAUCCGACGUCAUUUUCUUUGCCGAGAAAACAUC